UUUUGUAUUGAACUUAUUACUGUGUCGGUUCAGCUUCCAAGAAACAUGCACCAACGCCGAAAAAAGAAGAAACGCGCCUUUGCAACCUUUGUUCCUAAAGAAAUCAAUGAGUAGAUUCAUCCCUUUCACUUCCAACCAACCUCGGUUCCUAAAAAAUUCAAUGCUUUCUCUUUUCCCAUUCAUGAUUCAUCUCAUAUUCAAUGUAUUAAUGUAUCUUUUCAUCGAUUCACUUCUGUUGUUAUAAAUGGUUUCUCUUUUCCCAAAUCUGAGUUAGCACAUCAUCAAUUUCAUCUAUUGGUUUUCCAGUGUUAUAUUCACAGAUUCUCCUCCAAAUUUAUGUGUCAGGUUUCAACAGCAUCACAAACUUCUGCCUAUACUCCCUAAUAAUUUAUUCAGGUUGAAUCUUACCGCUCUUUUCCUUGAUUAGGAUGAUUUCUUACCACGGGCAGCCAUCCCAUUGGAAGAUAUAUGGUAUGUUAUAACAUCACAUUAUUUACUACAAACUCUGUUAUUUUAAUGUUAUAACCUAAUGUUGGAGUUUAUUGUCAUGGUAAUUUUAAUGUUGUUUUCUUGGAUUGUUGAGAGAAAGCCUCUCAGGUAUGGCUAAGGAUUCCACAAAGAGCUUACGCACAACUUUCACUGUAAAACCAAAGUUUAAACGCAACGUAUUCGUUUGAUUUUCUAGCAUUUGUUUAUACGGGUGGUACUUUUGAAAUUAAACUUAUACAACCUUUUUUUCGUUUGGCAUUUCAUUUCUUAACAUGGUUUCUACGCAGAUUCGGAAGGUUUCCUCCAGUUGUGAAAACAUCAAUGUCAAUAGACGGAAGGUUUGAGCAUAUAGUACUUUCUUGCAAUGCUACACCAGAUCAUGCCAUUAUUUGGAUAAAGAAAGGGCUCAAAGGGCUUUAAAUUUGAUGCUGGAGAAAGAUAAUACCAUGGAAGUACCUGCGUAGAAAUUCAUGGAGCGCUAGGAAACAAUCGCCAGACAAAGCCAAGAGUAUAAAGCAACAUUAUAAAGUGAAAAAAAUGUUACAUGUUCCACACGCCUUUAAUCCACCGUCGCAAUACGUAACUUUUGAUGAUGAGGGAAAGGAGAGUUCAAGAAAGUCAAAGGCCGACUUUUCUGUUAGUUCAACCAAUAAGAGUAGGGCGGGCAAAAGCUGGGAUGCAUUGGUUAAGCGACUUUUUGACAAGGAUGAGCAUGGCAAGAUGAUGUUCAAGAUAUGAAUGGUGAUCGUGAAAUUCAUGUAUUAUUUAUGAAUUAUUGUGUAGAACUUACAUUAUUCAUUGUUUUCAUAUUUUUGGUAGCUAAAAGAGGAACUAACAGUGUGAUGAUUGGUGGGCUUUUUAGUGUAUAAAUUGUUGGGAAUCACUUCUCUUAUGCUUCAUGUAUGAAAGGAUACUCUUGAAGUAAAUGUGUAUGAAUACACUUUCUCUAUUCAGUUUGUGUUAGUUAUGUCUAUUACAGUUCUUUACAAUUGUCUUUUAACUGUUUCAGCUUAACUGGGAAAUUCAUUCAAUAAUCAUAAUACUAUUGUUAACCAUUCUUAGGUGGGAAACUCUGAUAAUACUGUGUUUGGUGUAGGGUGGUCAAAAGUGCUCUUGAGUACCUUGCAAAAGAUCUCGGAAUCGCGCAAAACACCGUGUUACAAGGGUGGAUUGUCAACAUGUUACUUGCUGGUGCUACUGUUGAUUCGUUUUUGGUUGAACCAGGACUUUUCAAUGAUGUCGGGUUUCGAUGCAUUCACAACAUUGUCAAGCAUGUGUUGGAAUGAUGCCUUUUCCGCAAUGGUCUUCGUCGUGAUUUUAAGUCGUCACAUGCAAUUUAACUUGUGUCUCAUCAUCGGAGCAAAUUACAUAAUGUCGAGAUUAUAAUUUUAAUACACACUAUUUCAAUUACCUACUAAUAAGCAUACAGGUUGACAUUUUGGUUGUCAAAUUGUAUUGUUUUAAGAACAAUUUUGAUUGUCAUCAUAACUGAUAACCAUUUCAAUCAACACUGUCAGCAUGUUUACUUAAGAAAAUUAUGGUUCAAAAUAUAAAUCUAUCCGUUGGUACGACGUGUUUUAUUUUGUCAUCAUAUUUCCCCGGCUACCGUUCCCACUGUGAACAGUUUUAGUAUAAACAAUUCUUCAUUAAAACCAUUAAAUUAUAAACAUUGCUUC